rnacentral:rRNA from 1 species
UUAAGCGACUAAGCGUACACGGUGGAUGCCCUGGCAGUCAGAGGCGAUGAAGGACGUGCUAAUCUGCGAUAAGCGUCGGUAAGGUGAUAUGAACCGUUAUAACCGGCGAUUUCCGAAUGGGGAAACCCAGUGUGUUUCGACACACUAUCAUUAACUGAAUCCAUAGGUUAAUGAGGCGAACCGGGGGAACUGAAACAUCUAAGUACCCCGAGGAAAAGAAAUCAACCGAGAUUCCCCCAGUAGCGGCGAGCGAACGGGGAGCAGCCCAGAGCCUGAAUCAGUGUGUGUGUUAGUGGAAGCGUCUGGAAAGGCGCGCGAUACAGGGUGACAGCCCCGUACACAAAAAUGCACAUGCUGUGAGCUCGAUGAGUAGGGCGGGACACGUGGUAUCCUGUCUGAAUAUGGGGGGACCAUCCUCCAAGGCUAAAUACUCCUGACUGACCGAUAGUGAACCAGUACCGUGAGGGAAAGGCGAAAAGAACCCCGGCGAGGGGAGUGAAAAAGAACCUGAAACCGUGUACGUACAAGCAGUGGGAGCACGCUUCGGCGUGUGACUGCGUACCUUUUGUAUAAUGGGUCAGCGACUUAUAUUCUGUAGCAAGGUUAACCGAAUAGGGGAGCCGAAGGGAAACCGAGUCUUAACUGGGCGUUAAGUUGCAGGGUAUAGACCCGAAACCCGGUGAUCUAGCCAUGGGCAGGUUGAAGGUUGGGUAACACUAACUGGAGGACCGAACCGACUAAUGUUGAAAAAUUAGCGGAUGACUUGUGGCUGGGGGUGAAAGGCCAAUCAAACCGGGAGAUAGCUGGUUCUCCCCGAAAGCUAUUUAGGUAGCGCCUCGUGAAUUCAUCUCCGGGGGUAGAGCACUGUUUCGGCAAGGGGGUCAUCCCGACUUACCAACCCGAUGCAAACUGCGAAUACCGGAGAAUGUUAUCACGGGAGACACACGGCGGGUGCUAACGUCCGUCGUGAAGAGGGAAACAACCCAGACCGCCAGCUAAGGUCCCAAAGUCAUGGUUAAGUGGGAAACGAUGUGGGAAGGCCCAGACAGCCAGGAUGUUGGCUUAGAAGCAGCCAUCAUUUAAAGAAAGCGUAAUAGCUCACUGGUCGAGUCGGCCUGCGCGGAAGAUGUAACGGGGCUAAACCAUGCACCGAAGCUGCGGCAGCGACGCUUAUGCGUUGUUGGGUAGGGGAGCGUUCUGUAAGCCUGUGAAGGUGUGCUGUGAGGCAUGCUGGAGGUAUCAGAAGUGCGAAUGCUGACAUAAGUAACGAUAAAGCGGGUGAAAAGCCCGCUCGCCGGAAGACCAAGGGUUCCUGUCCAACGUUAAUCGGGGCAGGGUGAGUCGACCCCUAAGGCGAGGCCGAAAGGCGUAGUCGAUGGGAAACAGGUUAAUAUUCCUGUACUUGGUGUUACUGCGAAGGGGGGACGGAGAAGGCUAUGUUGGCCGGGCGACGGUUGUCCCGGUUUAAGCGUGUAGGCUGGUUUUCCAGGCAAAUCCGGAAAAUCAAGGCUGAGGCGUGAUGACGAGGCACUACGGUGCUGAAGCAACAAAUGCCCUGCUUCCAGGAAAAGCCUCUAAGCAUCAGGUAACAUCAAAUCGUACCCCAAACCGACACAGGUGGUCAGGUAGAGAAUACCAAGGCGCUUGAGAGAACUCGGGUGAAGGAACUAGGCAAAAUGGUGCCGUAACUUCGGGAGAAGGCACGCUGAUAUGUAGGUGAAGCGACUUGCUCGUGGAGCUGAAAUCAGUCGAAGAUACCAGCUGGCUGCAACUGUUUAUUAAAAACACAGCACUGUGCAAACACGAAAGUGGACGUAUACGGUGUGACGCCUGCCCGGUGCCGGAAGGUUAAUUGAUGGGGUCAGCGCAAGCGAAGCUCUUGAUCGAAGCCCCGGUAAACGGCGGCCGUAACUAUAACGGUCCUAAGGUAGCGAAAUUCCUUGUCGGGUAAGUUCCGACCUGCACGAAUGGCGUAAUGAUGGCCAGGCUGUCUCCACCCGAGACUCAGUGAAAUUGAACUCGCUGUGAAGAUGCAGUGUACCCGCGGCAAGACGGAAAGACCCCGUGAACCUUUACUAUAGCUUGACACUGAACAUUGAGCCUUGAUGUGUAGGAUAGGUGGGAGGCUUUGAAGUGUGGACGCCAGUCUGCAUGGAGCCGACCUUGAAAUACCACCCUUUAAUGUUUGAUGUUCUAACGUUGACCCCUAAUCGGGGUUGCGGACAGUGUCUGGUGGGUAGUUUGACUGGGGCGGUCUCCUCCUAAAGAGUAACGGAGGAGCACGAAGGUUGGCUAAUCCUGGUCGGACAUCAGGAGGUUAGUGCAAUGGCAUAAGCCAGCUUGACUGCGAGCGUGACGGCGCGAGCAGGUGCGAAAGCAGGUCAUAGUGAUCCGGUGGUUCUGAAUGGAAGGGCCAUCGCUCAACGGAUAAAAGGUACUCCGGGGAUAACAGGCUGAUACCGCCCAAGAGUUCAUAUCGACGGCGGUGUUUGGCACCUCGAUGUCGGCUCAUCACAUCCUGGGGCUGAAGUAGGUCCCAAGGGUAUGGCUGUUCGCCAUUUAAAGUGGUACGCGAGCUGGGUUUAGAACGUCGUGAGACAGUUCGGUCCCUAUCUGCCGUGGGCGCUGGAGAACUGAGGGGGGCUGCUCCUAGUACGAGAGGACCGGAGUGGACGCAUCACUGGUGUUCGGGUUGUCAUGCCAAUGGCACUGCCCGGUAGCUAAAUGCGGAAGAGAUAAGUGCUGAAAGCAUCUAAGCACGAAACUUGCCCCGAGAUGAGUUCUCCCUGACUCCUUGAGAGUCCUGAAGGAACGUUGAAGACGACGACGUUGAUAGGCCGGGUGUGUAAGCGCAGCGAUGCGUUGAGCUAACCGGUACUAAUGAACCGUGAGGCUUAACCUU